rnacentral:rRNA from 1 species
GGCGGUAGGCCUAACACAUGCAAGUCGAACGGCAGCACAGAGGAGCUUGCUCCUUGGGUGGCGAGUGGCGGACGGGUGAGGAAUACAUCGGAAUCUACUUUUUCGUGGGGGAUAACGUAGGGAAACUUACGCUAAUANNNCAUACGACCUACGGGUGAAAGCAGGGGAUCUUCGGACCUUGCGCNAUUGAAUGAGCCGAUGUCGGAUUAGCUAGUUGGCGGGGUAAAGGCCCACCAAGGGGACGAUCCAAGGCGACNNUCCGUAGCUGGUCUGAGAGGAUGAUCAGCCACACUGGAACUGAGACACGGUCCNGACUCCUACGGGAGGCAGCAGUGGGGAAUAUUGGACAAUGGGCGCAAGCCUGAUCCAGCCAUACCGCGUGGGUGAAGAAGGCCUUCGGGUUGUAAAGCCCUUUUGUUGGGAAAGAAAUCCAGCCGGCUAAUACCUGGUUGGGAUGACGGUACCCAAAGAAUAAGCACCGGCUAANUUCGUGCC